rnacentral:misc_RNA from 1 species
CACGUACUGUGCGAACGUUAUUCGGAAUUACUGGGCUUAAAGGGUGCGUAGGCGGCUCUGCAAGUCAGGUGUGAAAUUUCACGGCUCAACCGUGAAACUGCGCUUGAAACUGCAGGGCUUGAGUACCAUAGGGGUGUGCGGAACUUCCAGUGGAGCGGUGAAAUGUGUUGAUAUUGGAAGGAACACCGGAGGCGAAAGCGGCACACUGGGUGGUAACUGACGCUGAGGCACGAAAGCCAGGGUAGCGAACGGG